rnacentral:lncRNA from 1 species
AACAACAACAACAACGAUAACAAGAAGAAGAAGAAGAAGAAGAAGAAGAACAAUAACAACAAUAAUAUGAACAACAAGAGUAAGAAGAAGAAGAAGAAGAAAAAGAAGAAGAAGAAGAAGAAGAACAACAACAACAAUAACAACAAAACAAGAACAAAAACAACUAUCAUUGCUAACAUGAAUCCAUAUUUUCCUUGUCUCAUUUAAGUUGGAGAAAAGGUGA